rnacentral:rRNA from 1 species
UUCGGGAUAAGCCUGGGAAACUGGGUCUAAUACCGGAUAUGACCAAAGGCUGCAUGGCUUUUGGUGGAAAGGUUUACUGGUGCAGGAUGGGCCCGCGGCCUAUCAGCUUGUUGGUGGGGUAAUGGCCUACCAAGGCGACGACGGGUAGCCGACCUGAGAGGGUGACCGGCCACACUGGGACUGAGACACGGCCCAGACUCCUACGGGAGGCAGCAGUGGGGAAUAUUGCACAAUGGGCGAAAGCCUGAUGCAGCGACGCCGCGUGAGGGAUGAAGGCCUUCGGGUUGUAAACCUCUUUCAGCAGGGACGAAGCGAAAGUGACGGUACCUGCAGAAGAAGCACCGGCUAACUACGUGCCAGCAGCCGCGGUAAUACGUAGGGUGCGAGCGUUGUCCGGAAUUACUGGGCGUAAAGAGUUCGUAGGCGGUUUGUCACGUCGUCUGUGAAAACCCACCGCUCAACGGUGGGCCUGCAGGCGAUACGGGCAGACUUGAGUACUGCAGGGGAGACUGGAAUUCCUGGUGUAGCGGUGAAAUGCGCAGAUAUCAGGAGGAACACCGGUGGCGAAGGCGGGUCUCUGGGCAGUAACUGACGCUGAGGAACGAAAGCGUGGGUAGCAAACAGGAUUAGAUACCCUGGUAGUCCACGCCGUAAACGGUGGGCGCUAGGUGUGGGUUCCUUCCACGGGAUCUGUGCCGUAGCUAACGCAUUAAGCGCCCCGCCUGG